CGUUUUGCUUCUCACUCGCACCACCAAGAGUCAGUCUUUGAUUUGCAUCCUACUUGCGCGCACGCAACAAUUUUCUGCAGAACUUCCCCAAAAGUCCUUGCGAAAACAUCAAAAUUUUUCUCGAAUAGUUGUUGGUUUCCGCUGGAUCCAGGAGCGAAAUGAAACGCCAUCAGACCAUUCCUCCAUAGUUGCGGUCGCAACCAAGAAAGUCAAGAAUCUAAGGAUUUUCAACUUCAUUCGCAAGUCGACUGUCGAAUCACACCCAGCCACAGAAAUUGGAUCUGGAGGACCAGCUCAAGCUAAAAAAUGUUCUCGUGUGACAAAUCCCACCAGGGUAGUUUCCAGAUUAUCCAUCAUAAUAUGGCCAAUUCAAUCCCCAGCGAAGAAAUGUAUUUUUUGGAUGAAUCGGAGAAAGUUGGCAAAAAAACAGUGGCUGGAACUGGAUAUG